rnacentral:rRNA from 1 species
UACGGAGGAUGCGAGCGUUAUCCGGAUUUAUUGGGCGUAAAGGGAGCGUAGGCGGACUUUUAAGUGAGAUGUGAAAUACUCGGGCUCAACUUGAGUGCUGCAUUUCAAACUGGAAGUCUAGAGUGCAGGAGAGGAGAAUGGAAUUCCUAGUGUAGCGGUGAAAUGCGUAGAGAUUAGGAAGAACACCAGUGGCGAAGGCGAUUCUCUGGACUGUAACUGACGCUGAGGCUCGAAAGCGUGGGGAGCAAACAGG